CUCCGGCCAGACAAAAUUCUCGUCGCCGGUUUUGAUGAAAUCCUCGUAGCAUUGCAGGUUUGGAAUUGUCGUCGCUUCGGGCAUCGACACCCGAUCCACCAUCAGGACAAACAGCCUGACGGUCUUCAGCUCAGGUGCGAGCUUUUCCACCAGCGGCAGGAACGAACUCUCGAAGAACAGCACUUUAUCUUCGGCGUGAUUGGCAAUGUAGAUGAUCUGCGCCGGGAUCAGUCUUGGAUUGAUCGCAU
rnacentral:misc_RNA from 1 species